CACACGACUCUCGGCAACGGAUAUCUCGGCUCUCGCAUCGAUGAAGAACGUAGCGAAAUGCGAUACCUGGUGUGAAUUGCAGAAUCCCGCGAACCAUCGAGUCUUUGAACGCAAGUUGCGCCCGAGGUCUCUCUGCCGAGGGCACGCCUGCCUGGGCGUCACGC
rnacentral:rRNA from 1 species